rnacentral:lncRNA from 1 species
AUGGAUCUGAAAAGGUAACGUCAUAUUCCUCUGUUCUAAUAGAUGUAUGCAUGAGAUUUGGUGCGUUAAAUUCCUGUAUUUUUUGUCUAUAUUGAAUAGGGGACCCUCCGGCAUUGCCUGUUUGUACCGAUGAUUGCAAGGGUCUUGAAAAUGUUGUUAAGAAGGUUUUUCCUCAAGUUGAGCAGCGAGAGUGUUUUAGGCAUAUGUGGCGUAAUUUUCAAAAAUAUUUCAUGAUGAUGUGUUUGGAAGGUUGUGGCCUGCUGCUAGGACAUAUAGGCUGGAAGAAUAUCACCAUCACAUGGCAAAUGCGGGGAGGUAGGACAUAGAGAAGCUAGAUGUCCUAAAAAUGGAACAAAGAAAAGGUACAAACUAGUACUUGUUGUUUUCUAUUUAUAAUACCAUGGUUCUAAUUGCUUUUUUGUAGGAGAAAAAGGGGGGAAAGGAAUCCAUGUCCAUGGUUUGAUGUUUCGGUUAGCAAUGUCGUUCCAUCUACACCAACCAAGAGCAAGAAUGAUGCCACUUGUAGCAGUCCUGGAGCUGUCACAAGAAGCCAAGCUGCAACUCAAGCUAGUCCUGGACAUGUCACAAGGAGCCAAGCUGCUACUCCAC